UCAGCCCUCUUUAUGAUCAUAUAUAUUAGUAUAGCGAGGACGCAUUUCUUGCGUACUGGUAGCAAGAAUGUCACAAUACUGAAUUAUAUAAAAUCACCCAGUAUUUGUAAACAAAAUGUAGGUAUAUAAUAUCAACAUUUUUGGAAUCUGAAACCAGUUAAUGACAUAAGAUGCAGUUUCACGAAAGGAAAUUCGCUUAUAAGUUCGGGGUGUUUAUGUGUAUAUUUUCCAUACUGACCGGUGUCUUAGCCUUGUGCUUCCCUACAUGGAUAAUAGAUAACAACAGUGGUAGAAUAUAUGGCCUGUUUCAACAUUGUGGUCAACUUUUCCAGUUUUCUAAUUGCUCUUUGAUUCAUUCACAUACAAAUGGAGUUUGGUUUGAAGUGGUUCGAGGCGUGGAGCUUGUCAGUGUUAUUAUAAUGUUCAUGGAUGUAUUUUUCCUGUGUAAAAGAAUUCCAUGUCGAAUUGAAGGCUUUGAUGCUUUCUUUAUAGGACUACUGUUGGCUGUUGGCCCUGCUGUUUAUGGAUAUUAUUUCAAUUUUUCUGAUUUUGGAAUAAAUGCGAGUUUGUCCUGGGGUUUUAUUGUGGCAUGUUUCAGUCCAGGAUUAGCUGUAAUUGGAUCAUUUUGUAUGUGUGGAAGUGAAUAUACCCCCGUCAAUAGAGUCGAGCCUUUUGUUGAAGAGAGUAUGGAAAGAAGGAGGAAGAAAAAGAAAACGUUUUCUCCGAAAGAUUGGGAUAAAUUUCCGGAUAGUGGCUCACAUGUGGAAAAAGAUUACUACAAUGACUAUUACAGAAAUCAUGAUCCCUAUGUUGACGAUUAUCUUCAUAAAUAUUGAUGUUUAACGUUUUCAGAUUCUGAUUCAAAUAUAUAAUAUGUGAUAAUUAAAUAUAUCAAUGGUGAAUCGGACAAGAUUUCACUUCUUCUCUCGGAACAAAGGGAGGCCACUCUGAAAUAUUUCCGUCCUGUGUAGUGUGUGUGUGAAAUUGAAUAAAAAAAUAUUUUAUGCUGUACAUUCGUUAGUAUUCGAUCAAUGGAUAUUAAGCAAACAUGCUGUUAGAAUUGAGUAAGUUAUUAAUUAAAAUAUCGAAUAUGAUAGCUAAUAUGAUGUUUUGUAAAUGACAAAACAAAUAUUACAGUCUAACAUUACAUUUUGCAUUACUUCAAGCAAUGUUAUAAUCUUAAAAUGUAUUAAAGAAUAGUAAUAACUCAAAGUGA